UUGAACGCUGGCGGCAUGCCUUACACAUGCAAGUCGAACGGCAGCACGGGAGCAAUCCUGGUGGCGAGUGGCGAACGGGUGAGUAAUACAUCGGAACGUGCCCAAUCGUGUGGGAUAACGCAGCGAAAGCUGUGCUAAUACCGCAUAAGAUCUACGGAUGAAAGCAGGGGAUCGCAAGACCUUGCGCGAAUGGAGCGGCCGAUGGCAGAUUAGGUAGUUGGUUAGGUAAAGGCUCACCAAGCCUUCGAUCUGUAGCUGGUCCGAGAGGACGACCAGCCACACUGGGACUGAGACACGGCCCAGACUCCGACGGGAGGCAGCAGUGGGGAAUUUUGGACGAUGGGCGAAAGCCUGAUCCAGCCAUGCCGCGUGCAGGAUGAAGGACUUCGGGUUGUAAACUGCUUUUGUACGGAGCGAAAAGUCUCUUUCUAAUAAAGAGGGAUCAUGACGGUACCGUAAGAAUAAGCACCGGCUAACUACGU
rnacentral:rRNA from 1 species